CACCCUUAACCUUACCCCCCCGUUCGGUUUGGGUCCGGUCCCGUUUCGGUCCCCCUUACCCCCCGAACCCGAACCGGUUCCCGGGGCCCCGGGUCCGGGUUACCCGGGUUAACCGGGCGGUUCCCCCGUUUUUUUUUACGGGAAAAACGGUUAAAAGUUAGGGAAACCGGCCCGUUCGGGACCCGGUAACGGUUUUAAGGGUUGGUCCUACCUAAGGGUUCGGGCGGGUAAACCGGGUUUAAACCCCCGUUGGGGUUAGGGGGGAAACGGUACCCGGUACGGAACGGAAAACGGACGGUACGGUACCCGUAAAGGUACGGGGGAACCGUAAGUAGGAGGUUCCGCGGUUCGGGUUCGUAACCGGAACCCGGAACGGACGGUAAGGUAGAUUACCCUAACCCUAGUCGGCCGUAGGUUAGAAGCGGACGGGUAACGACCGCGUGGACGGACCGAACCCACGUGGUAGAAACGUGGGGGAUGAGCUGUGGGUAGGGGUGAAAGGCCAAUCAAACUUCGUGAUAGCUGGUUCUCCCCGAAAUGCAUUUAGGUGCAGCGUCACGUGUUUCUUGCCGGAGGUAGAGCUACUGGAUGGCCGAUGGGCCCCACCGGGUUACUGACGUCAGCCAAACUCCGAAUGCCGG
rnacentral:rRNA from 1 species